AUGAUCGUGAAAUCAUGG
rnacentral:snRNA from 1 species